rnacentral:rRNA from 1 species
GUGGGGAAUAUUGCACAAUGGGCGCAAGCCUGAUGCAGCCAUGCCGCGUGUAUGAAGAAGGCCUUCGGGUUGUAAAGUACUUUCAGCGGGGAGGAAGGUGUUGUGGUUAAUAACCGCAGCAAUUGACGUUACCCGCAGAAGAAGCACCGGCUAACUCCGUGCCAGCAGCCGCGGUAAUACGGAGGGUGCAAGCGUUAAUCUGAAUUACUGGGCGUAAAGCGCACGCAGGCGGUCUGUCAAGUCGGAUGUGAAAUCCCCGGGCUCAACCUGGGAACUGCAUUCGAAACUGGCAGGCUGGAGUCUUGUAGAGGGGGGUAGAAUUCCAGGUGUAGCGGUGAAAUGCGUAGAGAUCUGGAGGAAUACCGGUGGCGAAGGCGGCCCCCUGGACAAAGACUGACGCUCAGGUGCGAAAGCGUGGGGAGCAAACAGGAUUAGAAACCCCAGUAGUCC